rnacentral:rRNA from 1 species
AUUGAACGCUGGCGGCAUGCCUUACACAUGCAAGUCGAACGGCAUCGCGGAAAAGCUUGCUUUCCUGGCGGCGAGUGGCGAACGGGUGAGUAACACAUCGGAACGUACCGGCUAGUGGGGGAUAACCCGUCGAAAGACGGGCUAAUACCGCAUACGCUCUUCGGAGGAAAGCAGGGGACCUUUGGGCCUUGCGCUAGCCGAGCGGCCGAUGUCCGAUUAGCUAGUUGGUGGGGUAAAGGCCUACCAAGGCGACGAUCGGUAGCGGGUCUGAGAGGACGAUCCGCCACACUGGGACUGAGACACGGCCCAGACUCCUACGGGAGGCAGCAGUGGGGAAUCUUGGACAAUGGGGGCAACCCUGAUCCAGCAAUGCCGCGUGGGUGAAGAAGGCCUUCGGGUUGUAAAGCCCUUUCGGCAGGGAAGAAAUCGGCGGGGCGAAUAACCCUGCUGGAUGACGGUACCUGCAGAAGAAGCACCGGCUAACUACGUG